rnacentral:rRNA from 1 species
UACGUAGGGUGCAAGCGUUGUCCGGAAUUAUUGGGCGUAAAGAGCUCGUAGGCGGUCUGUCGCGUCGGAUGUGAAAACCCAGGGCUCAACCCUGGGCCUGCAUUCGAUACGGGCAGACUAGAGUUCGGUAGGGGAGACUGGAAUUCCUGGUGUAGCGGUGAAAUGCGCAGAUAUCAGGAGGAACACCGGUGGCGAAGGCGGGUCUCUGGGCCGAUACUGACGCUGAGGAGCGAAAGCGUGGGGAGCGAACAGG